rnacentral:tRNA from 1 species
GUCCCAUUAGCGCAAUGGAUAGUGCAUUGGACUUCUAAUCCAAAGGUUGUGGGUUCAAAUCCCACCUGGGAUG